GUCGGAUCUCGUGCCGUGCAGGUCGUCUGGGAAGUUUUUGUGGUUCAUGUUCGGUCGCAAAAGAGCACGCUACGAACCGCGUGGUUAUCAAUCGAAGUUUCUCAUGUGCUUUGUUCAGUGUUACUCAAUGUUGCCACUCGUCACCGUUGCCUGAACAUUUCAUCGGAGGUUUCAAGAAACGAAGAACGGUGGAUUGGAAUACUUGGAUGAGCUGUGCAACGUGACAGACAGGAGUAUCGUCGGAUAAGAAGACUACCGAUUCCCGACCUGCUCUGAUAUUAUACCUAACUUUCGUUACCAAUCGUUGGACAGUACAGUCAAAUUUUGCAAGAGGAUACAGGAAUUCUCUCUCUCUUUCUCUCUUUCUAGUUCGAUUAUUAUCCUCGAAACCAUUUAUCAAUCGACUGUAACUUAAUCUAUAAAUACACGUAAACGUGGCGGACAAUCAUCGAAAUACAAGACAAAGGAACAAAUCAGUGGCUUGUAGUUGAAAUAAAAUAAAACAAAAGCGAGCCACGAAUGAAGGUAACGCGAAAAAAAAAGGAAAAAGUGGUCUGAUUUAGAGACGAAGCAAUCAGUCGGUCCAUUCAGUAUGGCGCGGCACUGGCUCACGUGUGACGAACGAAACGAACCAACGACUCCUCCGCGUUGCUUGCAAAGAGAGAGGGAGAGAGAAAGAGAGUGAAGAGAAUCGAUGCCAGCGGUCGCAGCCGCGUCAGGCGUUGCGCAAUUUGAUCAUCUCUCAUUAAACUUCGAAGGACCAGCGUCGCGUCGACACGGGGCAUCCGUGCGGAAGAUAGUCCGAGGAUGAGCAAUCUGUUGAAACUUUCCAAGUCUGGCUCCCUACAUGGACCCUGUGUUACGUAUGCGUACACACAUAUAUCUGUUAUCACGCACAAACAAAUGCGUACGUAGAACGUAGACUGGAAAAAAAUGUAUUAUGCGAAUAAAGGAGUUAGGUCUGUA
rnacentral:lncRNA from 11 species